AUCCGUUCCGCCAGCAAGAAAGCAUUCCAGGACGUGCCUGGAAGCCCUGUCUGUCAGCAGAUGUCACUGCAUCCACCACCUGCAUAUGAGUCAACACCACACAGGUAACCAGCUCAUUGCCCAGAGCUGGAUGGGUCUAUUAUAACGCCUGCCACUUCAUCUUGGGACCCAGUUAAAGCACAAGUGACUCAUCACACAGAGGGAGAUCG